CAGUCGCCGCGGGAAUACGUAGGUGGCAAGCGUUGUCCGGAAUUAUUGGGCGUAAAGGGCUCGCAGGCGGUUUCUUAAGUCUGAUGUGAAAGCCCCCGGCUCAACCGGGGAGGGUCAUUGGAAACUGGGAAACUUGAGUGCAGAAGAGGAGAGUGGAAUUCCACGUGUAGCGGUGAAAUGCGUAGAGAUGUGGAGGAACACCAGUGGUGAAGGCGACUCUCUGGUCUGUAACUGACGCUGAGGAGCAAAAGCGUGGGGAGCGAACAGGAUUAGAUACCCGUGUAGUCCCUGUCUCUUAUAC
rnacentral:rRNA from 1 species